rnacentral:rRNA from 1 species
GAUGAACGCUGGCGGCGUGCCUAAUACAUGCAAGUCGAGCGAACAGACGAGGCGCUUGCUCCUCUGACGUUAGCGGCGGACGUGUGAGUAACACGUGUAUAACCCACCUAUAAUACUGGUAUAACCUCGGGAAACCGGAGCUAAUACCGUAUAAUAUACUGAACCGCAGUGUUGAAUAGUGAGAUACGGCUUUGCUGUCACUUCUCGCUGCAUCCGCGCCGCAUUAGCUAGUUGUUAAGGUAACGGCUUACCAAGGGAACGAUGCGUAGCCGAACUGAGAGGCUGAUCGGCCACACUGGAGCGGAACCGCGGACAAUACGCCUACGGGAGGGAGCAGUAGCGAACCUUCCGCAACAGGCGAGAGCAUGACGGAGUGACGCGGAGUGAGUGAUGGAGGUCUUCGGAUCGUAAUACUGUGUUAUUAGGGAAGAACAAAUGUGGACGUAACUAUGCACUUCGUGACGGUAACUAAUAAGAAAGCCACGGCUAACUACGUG